AUGGCGAUUCAAGAUUCAUCCACGGCUCAAGAGAUCAGAAACAUGCAAGCACGACCGCGGCUAUGGAACUACGGCCGCAAAGGCAAGCACGACCGCGGCUCCGUGAAGAAGGACGAGCCCGCAUCGCCACCGCGUUGGGCCCCCGCGCCGCCCGCGUUCUCCAUCGCGCCCACGGCCGCCGGCGAGCGCGACCGGCACUACAUCGAGGCGGCCGUAUGCCGCCAUUAUUGGGAGACGAGGACGCCGCUACCCUGGAGCGACGUCCACCUCCCCAACAACUGGCACUUGUCAGCCGACCGCGUGCCGAUCCCGCCGGUCCCGCUGAGCGGCCGUGCGCGCCGCCGCCGCCUCCUCCCGGACGACCUCUACUACGACGAGAGGUACGCCCCCGACUCGUCAUUGUGGGCCACUUGGUUCCGCGAUGAGCACGACAUGCGGCGGGCGUCCUUCUUCGCCGGCACGUCGACGGGGCCGCGACGGCCACGUGAGCACCGGGUGGCUCCCCAGGCGCGCGGCGUACGCGGGUGCGAGGAGGCCCGUCUCAUCUCCAUCGCCACCCCCACCUCCUCGCAUGACAGCGGAGGAGGAGGCCCGUCUCAUGGCACGUGUGCUGGAGGACUCCAUGCACACGCACGACGAGCGCCAAUGGGAGGGCCUCGAGGAGAUGACGGCCCUCUCCGCGGCUGGCGACGUCGCCAUCCCCGAGCUGGAGAUGGUGCCAAAGGAGGAGGUGGUGGAGGAGCCGCCGGUGGCCGCGUUCCACCCGGGCCUGUGGGCCAGGGGUGGAGUUGGUCGUGCACCGCAGAGCAGAUGGCGGCCGCCGUGGGGGGGGGGGCGUGUAGUGGUGCCCCACGCCGCCGCGGUCACUGGAGCGGGAUGCCUCGCCACGGGAGGAGGUGGUGCAGGCACCUGCCACCUUCCAGCCUGCUGCCCCCGUGCACCACAGACCGCCGACCCACCUGUGGACGCCGCCGGACUACGUCGACCUCGUCAGCGACGACGACGACACCGGCGGCCACUGAAGACGGCAAUGGCCACGACAUCGAUGGGCGCGGCAGGAGCGCGCGGGAUCAGCAGAGCAGAGGCCAAAUAGGAGCCGCCUUCCCCGUCAGCGCAAACUUUGGUUCCCACUCACCAGACGCCGCGUGGGGCAGCCUUGCCGGGCGGUCGGGCCCGCGCGUCAGACACCCUAAACCCACCCACCCACCCACCCACCCACCCCUGGUGCGGUGCGCUUGGAGCCGCCAGCCCCGGGCCCACCCGUCGGCCAACGGGGCUGCUAUCUCCACGAGGUGCGAAAAGGCAAUGCCACGGACGCUAUUUAACCAGGCUCGAGGGGGGGCGAGGAGGGGUAGGUGGUCGCUCUCCAAUCGCAUCCGCAAAACCAACACUCGUCUUCCUUCCUCCCUCGACCAGCGCAGGCGGAUCUCAUCCCAUCCAAGGCAGGCAGGCAGGUCAGGCAACUCGUCCCCUCCCCUCCCGAAUCUCGUCCCCUCGUUUGUUUCUUUUGCUUGUGCCCCGACCGAUCUCCGUCGCGAGCCCCCAGCCCGUGCCCGAGCGAGGGUUCCGUCGGUGAGGCAGGCAGUAGCUAGAUAUUUUAUCUGGGCGGGCCGCCGGCGGUGCGUGUUCUUUCCUACUCUUAGGGGCGGGCGGGCGACUGAAGCUGAGCCACGCGGUGGCUGGCUCAGAUCCAUGCGCUACCUGACGAAGGGAGCACAAGUUGACUCACUGACGGCAUGGAAUCUCGCGCCCAACCACCGACCCACUGGACGGGCCAGCCAAGCUCAAUAA
rnacentral:rRNA from 1 species